UCGAGCUGCCGUUAUCCCUCUGCGCUAGCUGGAGUCCUCCGGGAGGGCCGUCGCAGUCCUGUAGGCUCCCUGGCUGGGUUCAGGAAAUACCAUUUUCAGCUGAAAGGAUAGGAAAAACAGUCCAGUCAACAUAAGGCAGCCACAUAACCAAGAAAUGACACUUUCUAACAUGACCGAAUUUGACCCCGGGCACAGCUAACAACAGCCAGCCACACCGAAGUUCAUCCCGAUGAACACAUGCUGUUACCACAACAACAAACAGAUCAACUGGAAGGAUACCCUUCGCCUGGAG